rnacentral:lncRNA from 1 species
GGGGAACUCACUAAGCUUCGUGCUUACGUUGUUUAUGUUAUGUUGUUUCAGGUUCUUACAGUAACGCGGGAUGGCAACGGUUCGAUUGUACACACCGAAGAAAGAGUUGUGUUUUGGAGGAUCCUGGUCUUCUAUUAUAAUGAAAAUGAAACUAUGUUUUGUAAUUCGAAUGUGAAUAAGAUUUUAAACAAGUGUUUUUAAUAUUAAAUUGAUUAUUUAAAUGAAAAUUUUGUUUUUGGAAAUCUCGGUGUUACAAAUUGGUAUCAGAGCCUUGGUUUGAGGGAUUCGGACGCGCCUACGGGUAAAUCUGGACUCAAACUGAGGAAGUAAGAAAAAGUUUUCCAAAUAAAUGGUUUUCUAAAAGUGAAUAAGAGUUCAAAGAGAAAGCAAGAAAGAGCAGUGUGUACAAUCAGCCAGAGCCAAACGGUGAUUUCCCAAAAUACCCUUACUUUUGUAUUAUGAAAUAUCUAUUAUGCACUUUAUGAGACAUUAUUGCAUGCUAGAGACAGGCUAGGUAUUUCACAUCUUAGGACUAGAGUGGCCUGAUUUGUGAUGCCUUAGUCUAGGGUUUGCUGUUAUAUGUGCGUUAUGCUUUUGUGUGUAUGUGAUGAGUGAGAGUAUCUAGUUAGAACGCACAAGGGGUAAAGCUACGGGGUACAGAGGUACUUCCGAGGAUGAGCCGAGAAGGUGGAGCUACCACAGAUGGGGAGUCCUAUGUAUGCUUCAAUGCUCGAAUGCUGCUUGCUUUGUGCUUUGUGGAGUUAUCGAUGAUGGGAGUCAGCUACUAAGUGAGUAUGACGAUACUCAGGAGGUAGAGGGCUGGCAUCAUUAGGAACUCUUCAGCAGCUGAUAGCAAAGAAGUGGGAGGACAGCGGAAGGGACUAGGGAGUAAACCUAGCCAGAUGAGUGCGCUGGUAGAGUAGAGGAUUUCGCUGGAAAGCGAGCACGCGCGAUGAGAUGGGUGAAAGAGCAGGUUUAUCAGCUACUUAGGAACUCUGGGAUGGUCCGUGUGGAAAGUAUGGGUAGAUGUGGCAGGUAGUAUGGGCCCGUACUACUGAAAGCAGAGGACCCAUACUUGAUACAGGGGGCAUCCUAAAGGUCCUAAGGAACAGAUUGAGGGGUGAUGUUAUGGUUCGGAUACCAUACAUCGGAGCGGAUACAGAGUGAUGUUAUGGUCCGGGCACCAUACAUCGGAACAGAUUGAGAUAGAUGUUGUGGUCCGAGUGCUAUACAUUGGAGCAGAUUGAGGAGUGGUGCUAUGGUUCAGGUACCAUACACUGAAGCAUGUUGAGGAGGGAUGUCAUGGGAUGAGUACCAUGGUUCGUAGUGGAUGAUGCUUGUGGCUAUCUUGUUAUCCGGUUAUGACCGAUGAGGUAGAGAUUGGACGCUAUGGGUUUCAGGCCUGUAGACCAUGAUUGAGUACGGAGAGGCGUUCCUCGAGGGGAAAGGCAAGUGCCUAUCAGAGUAUUUUGGUAAGAGUCAAAGACAGGGGAGAAUUUCAGUUGAGUCGAGCAAUCAGACGACAGAGGAGAGGUCACCUUUUGGGUGGGUAGUGUCAUUUAUGCUCGUGUGCAAGACGCGAGAGGUCUGGUGUUUCAGUUCUGGAUUUGGGAGUACACCCUGCAGGUAGUUAUCGAUAAUGACUUCCCUCAGAGCAUCAGGUAGCGGGUGUACCGCGAGACAGAGAUUUACCGUGAACAGACAGUCAGUUGGGGCUGAGGUAGUCGAGAACCACACCACACCUAAUUGAGAAUAACAGGUUGGGUUAUAGUGGUAGCAGUGAAGAGUUCAGACGAGUUUUGCAGUGCGGAGAGUUGUCGUCUAUGUUGAGAGUAAGUCCCUGUUCUUGGGACAAAUCCGGCGUUGGAUACGGAUUGAUGAGUUGAGAUGAGAGGAACGAUGAUGCUGCGGUGCAGUCUACGAGCCAGAUAUGUUAUCGAGCAGUGCAGGUGCUUAGUAUUAGAUCAGUAUGGGAUUUGGAACGAUUAGAGGCAGCCGUGAUGAGAAGUUCUUGGAGAGUUAGCUAGAGGUUCAGAGUAUAGGGGAUUGAUUGACUUCAUAAGGGGAGGGACUAUCGGGUGUUGCACAGCACUUUACUGGGGCAGGUACGAUUUCGCUGGUGAAAGAUAGUCGUGGGUUGAUUGUAUACUAAUUGGUGUUGGUUCGAACCCUAGUGGGGGAGAACCGGGUGCAGUAUGUAAGAAAGCAAGAAUUGUCAGGAGUAGUAAUAAGUGGAGUAUAGAGAUGCAGUAGGAAAGCAUGAGACCAUAGGUGUCGAUGAUCGAGUAAAAAGGGGUUACAUCGGAGCUUGCGGGUCCGGUGGUGCAUGCCGCAAGUGCGGAAAGGAGGGGCACUGUGCACGGGAUUGUUGGCAGUCAGUGCCAAUUCGGGAUUUGAGGAGGACAGGAUGAAGCGGAGCCCCAGAGGGCUCAGGGUCGUGUUUAUCUGCGUGCGACAGAGGGAGACGGAGCAGUGCCGGAGACAGCUGCGGGUAUGAUGCUUUCAUGAUGUCUUAAUUGUCUUGCAUUGAUUUGGCGUAUUGUUUGUGCUGGUAUCUUGUAUGGAUUUCGAUGCGGUAUUCGUUGUUUCGCGGGUCUGGCAUGGUUAUGGAUUGGUGCUUCAGGUUUUCGCUUUGGCAUUCGUUAUUCCCUGAUGGUUGGGUAUGGUUAUAAUUGGUGUUUUAGUGUCAGUAGUCUUGUGCGGUUUUCGAUGUGGUGUUCAUCCUUUGGGCAGAUUGUGAGUUUGGUUAUGGGUUAUUGUCGAGGAUUCCUUUGGUUAUCGUUCGUGGGGGUUGUUAGGGGAGAUGCGGCACUGGGUUGAUUGUCGGGUAGCAUCUACAGUCGUGGAGUGGAUGAUUGAAGGACUAGAUUCUUGUGAGUGGGUUGAUCAGGGAGGAGGUGUGUUUUGCUGAGGGUUGCUUGUGCUUGUGGGAAGCAGUCAGUGUGUAAUUGUUCUCUUUGUACAGGAUUGUUCUGUAAGGUCGUUAAUGACGAUCGGUGGCAGUUAGUCAGUGCUUUAGGGGGGGAGAAUUAGAAAAUUCUCCGGGAGAUCGAUGAGUAUAUGAGGGUGCUUAGCUGCCGGGAUUCAGCAGUGUUUGUCAGCGCAGAGUAUAGGCCGACGAGAGCGAGUGUCGGGUAUGCGGGGCGGGAUACAGACCUAGGGCAUUCGAUUGUGGAGGCCUGAGAGAAGGCCGGGAUCAAGCUUGAGUAAGUAACCGGGGUUAUGUGAUCAGAGUAUUGGUAUGUUUGAGGUACGUGAUGGGUUGUACUGCAUUAAUCCCACGGGAUUAUGUUGUGCAUGUUUCUAGAGCUGGAACCGGAAGGUUCCAGAGUUAGAACCUGAGGGUUCGCAGAGUUGGGUGUACGGACCCACAGAGAUAUAGCCUCGAGUGGCUAGUAUGUGUUAUGAGAGUCGGUCCAGUCAUGCUGGAGACUCUGUUGGUAUUGCUGGAUCAGUUUGAGAUUACGGAUGGUGUAUGUGCAGUGUGAUUACAUUGGAAGGUCGGGCCCCGGGAUUGGUGAUCUUGUUUAGCUGAGGCAGUGAUUUUGAUGAGUGGAGAGAGUGCAUGAGAUUGAGAGCCCCUGCAAUGAGAACCAGAGUAUGUGGAUAGCGGUUACGCAAAAAGGGUGGUGUCGCUUGGGGCGAGCACCGUGGCACCGGUUGGAGUGGCAUUAUGGCCAAGAGGGUUCCUUGGAAAAAGGAAAAGAGGAAGGUGUGUAACUCCGAAGGGGUGCAAGUUCACGAAAGUGAAAGCUGCAGAGCAGAGUUAUGGUUAGAGUAUUUCAAGUAUGGUUUCGAGCAUCGUGUUUGCGGCAGUGAAGUAGGAACCCAUCCGGGUUGGGAUGACUGACGAGACUCAGAAAGGAUGCAAGGGAAUAGAGAAUCUUGAAUUCUCAGUGUGAUUCUGAUCAGGGUAUAGGACGGAUAUUAGUGGUUCGUCUUGGGAGAUGUUCGAGGAUAUCAUCAGUGAAUCGGGUUUUUCAACCUGCGAGUGUUGGGACUAGUUCAGUAUGUGUAUGUGAUGGCAAGAGGGAACUUGUGAGAGUUGAUCUGAGAGGGAGAACGGAUCUCUCAGUCGGUCCGGAAUGGGCAAAGUGGGCUUUGGAUCGGGGAUCCGGUGGUUCAGGGUUUCCUAACCCUUAUGGGUUGAGUGAUCGUUGAGAUUUGGAGCAGAGUGCAUCUUGGGUAAUUUCCGAUUACAGAGAGUGAUGAGCAGUUCAGAGUUCGUACUUUAGUUGACAAAGCAGACUCAGCAGGUUAAAGAGAGUUAGUGAUCGUCUAGAGUUAACAGGAAAGUUAUGCAGGCAGACGCCGUUACGAGCAUGUGAUUCAGGUCGGCGACUUCGUAUUUCUGACGGGGUGUUUCGAUUUAGGAAGAGGGGUAAAUGGGGGCCCCGGUAUGUUGGGUCUUUUCGUGAAGGUACGAAGGUAGGAAGGGUGACCUAUCGUUGGAGCUGUCAACGGAAUUGGGACGGAUCCAUGACACUUGUAUGUGUCGCAAUUGAAGAGGUGUAUAGCGGAUGAGUCAGCAGUGGUUCUACUAGAGAACGAUUAGGUGGAUGCGAGCCUGUGUUACGUCGAGAGGCCAGUGGCCGUCGGAGGUCGGAAGAUCAAGGUUCUGAGGAACAAGGAGGUACCUCUGGUAUUGGUUCAGUAGCGGCCUCGGGAGAGAUCGGUAGUGUCUAGGGAAGCCGAAACGUGAGAUGCGGGAGCAGCAGCCAGAGCUAUUUUCAGAGUGAGACUUCGAGGGCGAAGUCUAAUUCUAGUGGGGGAGAUUUGUAACAGCCCAAAAUCUCAAGUAUUGUUAAGUUGCAUUUUGGGGGUGUUUUAAAGGGGAGACUCGACGAGUUGGAGCCAGACUCGCCGAGUAGGGUCGCAGGUUUGGUCGCGGGUUCACGACUGGACUCGACGAGUCCAGAUAUGGACUCGGCGAGUCGACGCUGUUCAGUGGAAAACCCUAGCCGUUCAGUUUGGGAAGUAUAUAAGGGAUCUUAUGCCUCCAUUGUUCGCCUUUUGGCCGACUGAGAAGGACCCUAAAUCGGUUGUGGGCAUCCAGAACAAGGAUUGAAGAUCAUUGGUGAUUUGAGGAAGUUAUUGUCCAAGAAGGAGAAGGUUUUGGCUAAUGGGACAGCAAGGGAAUCACGUUUUGAGGCUUGGGGACACUGAGAGUGCAUGAUUCAGGUAACCUUUCGGAUUAUUUUCUGUUAUGUGAAUGUGUGCAUGGAUUUAGGGUUUGUGAAACCCAUUUGGAGAUUAGAUGGAUUGUUGUGUUGUUAUCCAACGUUUAUAACCCUGUAUUAGUACCCCUUAGAGGUCCAGAAGGUCCUAUGUUUGUAUAUUCGGGAAAAUAUGUAUCUCAGGAAGCAGUUUGAUCGACUGCAUGGCGUGGACUCGCCGAGUCGGAUGAUCAGACUCGGCGAGUAGCUUGAAGAUUCACUGGGACUCGCCGAGUUGUUCUUCAGACUCGGCGAGUGGAGUCGGGGUGGCCCCGCGAUUCUUCCAGGAGUGACUCGUCGAGUCAAAGAGGAUACUCGACGAGUAGAAGGGGAAUCUUAGAGGAUUGAAGGACGACCAGACUCGCCGAGUCGCCAGGGAACUCGCCGAGUCCAGUCGAGCUGACAAUGGACUGUUGACCAGAGUUGACUGGUGUGAUUUCUUAGGGUCAGUUAACGUGGAAGAUAGAAGUAUUAAAUAAGGGAUAUAUGAUGUUACAGGGAGCUUGUAGCUCGGAGGAUCAAGUGCAAGGGAUUUUAGGAGUUGCUAUCUUCCAGUGUCUACGAGGUGAGUCUUCUCACUAUACCUCACCCGGAAGGGUUUGAUUGUGUGACCGGAAGGUCAAGUAUGUUAUGUGUUAUGUUUAUAUGCUAUAAAUGGAAAGUUAGCUGCUACGCGUGAUAUACAUGCUUAUAUAUGGGCCGGAAGGCAAGGUAUUAUGUGACAGAAAGGUCAGGUAUGAUAUAUGAUAUAUGUGCUUUAUGUGUUAGAGUAUUUGUAUUAUGUGUUAUAUAUGUGUAUGGGCCGGAAGGCAAUUAUCUUGUGGACCGAAAGGUCCGGGCCGGAAGGCAAUGUUAUGUGGAUCGAAAGAUCCGGGCCGGAAGUAAAUGUUAUGUGGAUCGAAAGAUCCGGGCCGGAAGGCAAUGUUAUGUGGAUCGAAAGAUCCGGGCCGGAAGGCAAUGUUAUGUGGAUCGAAAGAUCCGGGCCGGAAGGCAAUGUUAUGUGGAUCGAAAGAUCCGGGCCGGAAGGCAAUGUUAUGUGGAUCGAAAGAUCCGGGCCGGAAGGCAAUGUUAUGUGGAUCGAAAGAUCCGGGCCGGAAGGCAAUGUUAUGUGGAUCGAAAGAUCCGGGCCGGAAGGCAAUGUUAUGUGGAUCGAAAGAUCCGGGCCGGAAGGCAAUGUUAUGUGGAUCGAAAGAUCCGGGCCGGAAGGCAAUGUUAUGUGGAUCGAAAGAUCCGGGCCGGAAGGCAAUGUUAUGUGGAUCGAAAGAUCCGGGCCGGAAGGCAAUGUUAUGUGGAUCGAAAGAUCCGGGCCGGAAGGCGAUAUUAUGUGGAUCGAAAGAUCCGGGCCGGAAGGCGUAUGUGCGUAAGGUAUAUUGGGGAACUCACUAAGCUUCGUGCUUACGUUGUUUAUGUUAUGUUGUUUCAGGUUCUUACAGUAACGCGGGAUGGCAACGGUUCGAUUGUACACACCGAAGAAAGAGCUGUGUUUUGGAGGAUCCUGGUCUUCUAUUAUAAUAAAAAUGAAACUAUGUUUUGUAAAUCGAAUGUGAAUAAGAUUUUAAACAAGUGUUUCUAAUAUUAAAUUGAUUAUUUAAAUGAAAAUUUUGUCUUUGGAAAUCACGGUGUUACAUUAUGCAUACCCGAUACCCAAUUCUAAAAAGUGAAAGACAAGAGUUCGAGACUUUGG